GGGGGGGGGGGGGGGGGGGGGGGGGGGGGGGGGGGGGGGGGGGGGGGGGGCCAGUGCUCCCAGUUCCCCCAGUGCCCCCAGCGCCUCCAGCGCCCCCAGCGCCCCCAGUUCCCCCAGUGCUCCCAGCGCCCCCAGUGCCCCCAGUGUUCCCAGUGCUCCCAGUGCUCCCAGCGCCGAGUCAAUGGUUAACCCGCGCUCACCCCGCGCCUCCCCUCCUGACGAAGCAGCCCAGGCUCUCUGCUCCGCAGAGCUGGAGCGGCACAGGAGCCCCACACACCUCCCUGAGCACCUGGGCACAGCCAUCUCUGGGCCUGCAGGCACAGCUUCCACCUGCAUCCCUUUGAUCACCUGCUGA
rnacentral:lncRNA from 1 species